CGAGGGGCAGCGGGGUAGUGCUUGCACUACUGCCGGCGACCGGCGCACGGGUGAGUAACACGUAUGGAACCUGCCCGCAGCAGGGGGAUAAGCGGAAGAAAUUCCGUCUAAUACCGCGUAACAACGUUGGGAGGCAUCUCCCGAUGUUUAAAGAUUUAUCGGCUGCGGAUGGCCAUGCGGCGCAUUAACUAGUCGGCGGGGUAACGGCCCACCGAGGCGACGAUGCAUAGGGGUUCUGAGAGGAAGGUCCCCCACACUGGUACUGAGACACGGACCAGACUCCUACGGGAGGCAGCAGUGAGGAAUAUUGGUCAAUGGCCGAGAGGCUGAACCAGCCAAGUCGCGUGAGGGAAGACGGCCCUACGGGUUGUAAACCUCUUUUGUCGGGGAGCAAAGAGAGCCACGUGUGGCUCAUUGAGAGUACCCGAAGAAAAAGCAUCGGCUAACUCCGUGCCAGCAGCCGCGGUAAUACGGAGGAUGCGAGCGUUGUCCGGAUUUAUUGGGUUUAAAGGGUGCGCAGGACGGAGGUGCAAGUCAGCGGUCAAAUUGCGGGGCUCAACCCCGUACUGCCGUUGAAACUGCAUCCCUUGAGUGCGCGAGAAGUAUGCGGAAUGCGUGGUGUAGCGGUGAAAUGCAUAGAUAUCACGGAGAACUCCGAUUGCGAAGGCAGCAUACCGGCGCGCAACUGACGCUCAUGCACGAA
rnacentral:rRNA from 1 species